UACGUAGGGUGCGAGCGUUGUCCGGAAUUACUGGGCGUAAAGAGCUCGUAGGUGGUUUGUCGCGUUGUUCGUGAAAACUCACAGCUUAACUGUGGGCGUGCGGGCGAUACGGGGCAGACUGGAGUACUGCAGGGGGAGACUGGAAUUCCUGGUGUAGCGGUGGAAUGCGCAGAUAUCAGGAGGAACACCGGUGGCGAAGGCGGGUCUCUGGGCAGUAACUGACGCUGGAGGAGCGAAAAGCGUGGGGAGCGAACAGG
rnacentral:rRNA from 1 species